GAUUAAGAACGCAGCGAAAUGCGAUAAGUAAUGCGAAUUGCAGAAUCCGUGAGUCAUCGAAUCUUUGAACGCACAUUGCGCCCCUUGGUUAUUCCGAAGGGCAUGCCUGUUCGAGCGUCAUUAUCACCCCUCAAGCCCUGGCUUGGUGUUGGACUUUAGUUAUAGCUUUGCCUAUCAACUGGUCUCAAAGAUAGUGACGGCGCCCCAGAGGGAACCGGGUACGAGGAGCUUUUUACUAAGCAUGUAUCUGGGACGACUCUGGGCGACGGUCUUGUUAUACUUUUUACCUAAGUGUUGACCUCGGAUCAGGUAGGAAUACCCGCUGAACUUAAGCAUAUCAAUAAGCGGAGGA
rnacentral:misc_RNA from 1 species